UACGGAGGGUGCGAGCGUUGUCCGGAAUCACUGGGCGUAAAGGGCGCGUAGGCGGCCGUGUAAGUCACUUGUGAAAUCCCGGGGCUCAACUCCGGGGGCUGCAGGUGAGACUGCGUGGCUAGAGCACGGUAGAGGCGAGUGGAAUUCCCGGUGUAGCGGUGGAAUGCGUAGAUAUCGGGAAGAACACCGGUGGCGAAGGCGGCUCGCUGGGCCGUUGCUGACGCUGAGGCGCGAAAGCGUGGGGAGCAAACAGG
rnacentral:rRNA from 1 species